rnacentral:misc_RNA from 1 species
UGGUGGAGCGCUGGAUGU